GCUUUGGGUAGCUGUAAGUAAGCGUUGAUCCAGAGAUUUCCGAAUGGGGGAACCCAACAUGAGUUAUGUCAUGUUAUCGACAUGUGAAUUCAUAGCAUGUCAGAAGGCAGACCCGGAGAACUGAAACAUCUUAGUACCCGGAGGAAGAGAAAGAAAAAUCGAUUCCCUGAGUAGCGGCGAGCGAAACGGGAAGAGCCCAAACCAACAAGCUUGCUUGUUGGGGUUGUAGGACACUCUAUACGGAGUUACAAAAGAACAUGUUAGACGAAUCAUCUGGAAAGAUGAAUCAAAGAAGGUAAUAAUCCUGUAGUCGAAAACAUAUUCUCUCUUGAGUGGAUCCUGAGUACGACGGAGCACGUGAAAUUCCGUCGGAAUCUAGGAGGACCAUCUCCUAAGGCUAAAUACUCUCUAGUGACCGAUAGUGAACCAGUACCGUGAGGGAAAGGUGAAAAGUACCCCGGAAGGGGAGUGAAAGAGAACUUGAAACCGUGUGCUUACAAGUAGUCAGAGCCCGUUUAUGGGUGAUGGCGUGCCUUUUGUAGAAUGAACCGGCGAGUUACGAUCUGAUGCAAGGUUAAGCAGCGAAUGUGGAGCCGUAGCGAAAGCGAGUCUGAAUAGGGCGUUGAGUAUUUGGUCGUAGACCCGAAACCAGGUGAUCUACCCUUGGUCAGGUUGAAGUUCAGGUAACACUGAAUGGAGGACCGAACCGACUUACGUUGAAAAGUGAGCGGAUGAACUGAGGGUAGCGGAGAAAUUCCAAUCGAACUUGGAGAUAGCUGGUUCUCUCCGAAAUAGCUUUAGGGCUAGCCUCAAGUGAUGAUUAUUGGAGGUAGAGCACUGUUUGGACGAGGGGCCCCUCUCGGGUUACCGAAUUCAGACAAACUCCGAAUGCCAAUCAAUUUAACUUGGGAGUCAGAACAUGGGUGAUAAGGUCCGUGUUCGAAAGGGAAACAGCCCAGACCACCAGCUAAGGUCCCAAAAUAUAUGUUAAGUGGAAAAGGAUGUGGCGUUGCCCAGACAACUAGGAUGUUGGCUUAGAAGCAGCCAUCAUUUAAAGAGUGCGUAAUAGCUCACUAGUCGAGUGACACUGCGCCGAAAAUGUACCGGGGCUAAACAUAUUACCGAAGCUGUGGAUUGUCCUUCGGACAAUGGUAGGAGAGCGUUCUAAGGGCGUUGAAGCAUGAUCGCAAGGACAUGUGGAGCGCUUAGAAGUGAGAAUGCCGGUGUGAGUAGCGAAAGACGGGUGAGAAUCCCGUCCACCGAUUGACUAAGGUUUCCAGAGGAAGGCUCGUCCGCUCUGGGUUAGUCGGGUCCUAAGCUGAGGCCGACAGGCGUAGGCGAUGGAUAACAGGUUGAUAUUCCUGUACCACCUAGUAUCGUUUUAAUCGAUGGGGGG
rnacentral:rRNA from 2 species